CAUUUCCAAAUUCCGAACACAUCAGCCCAGAAAUUCUUAGGGUUGAGCAAUAUAUGCAGGAAAACUAAUCGCCUUUCAAUUAAAAUUACCAAUCGUGCUACAAAUAAUGAACAACAGUGUAUACAAGUCAAGCUCUCAUGCAAAUAAUGACUAAUGCAAGGAAACACACAGUUCAUCCCUUACCUUCUUAGGGUUGAGCAAGUAAUUAUACAGAGUCGCCGCCAGAACCAGUUGUCUGUCCACUCAACAAGUUUAGGGUUCAUUUAGAAAUCAAAUUCGCUGGCAGAAACGCAUGUUUAUCCGGCACAUCGCCCGUCACCGACGCCCCGUCGAGCAAAAUCGUCUCCUUCGGGGGACGAUUGGACCAGUUAGGGUUCGAACCGUUAAGCUGGAGGUACUGAUCGGGCCUCGUGUAGGAGGCGGCGAGAGGUGAAGAACAAAUCAACCUAAGAGAACGGAGAAAUAGCGAGAGCUGUCAAGAGAUCAGUCACUUGACAUACUUAAGAUGAAGAACAAAUCCAAAGAGAGAGAACUUACGAUGAAAACGUAGCCUAAGAGAACGGAGAAAUAGUCACUUGAGCGCCUUUUUU
rnacentral:lncRNA from 1 species